GCUCAGGAUGAACGCUAGCUACAGGCUUAACACAUGCAAGUCGAGGGGUAGCAGGGUAGCAAUACCGCUGACGACCGGCGCACGGGUGAGUAACACGUAUCCAACCUUCCCAUAACUCGGGGAUAGCCUUUCGAAAGAAAGAUUAAUACCCGAUAGUACUUUAUUAAGGCAUCUUAAGAAAGUUAAAGAUUUAUUGGUUAUGGAUGGGGAUGCGUUCCAUUAGAUAGUUGGUGAGGUAACGGCUCACCAAGUCUUCGAUGGAUAGGGGUUCUGAGAGGAAGGUCCCCCACAUUGGUACUGAGACACGGACCAAACUCCUACGGGAGGCAGCAGUGAGGAAUAUUGGUCAAUGGGCGAGAGCCUGAACCAGC
rnacentral:rRNA from 1 species